rnacentral:pre_miRNA from 1 species
AAACGACGACGAUGAUGAUGAUGAUGAUGAUGAUGAUAUAUAUAUAUAUAUAUAUAUAUAUAUAUAUAUCAUCAUCAUCAUCAUCAUCAUCGUCGUCA